AAGAAAUGCAACCAAAACCAAUGUACAACCUACUACAUUAAAACAGAAACUGUGCCAUUUGCUUAACCCACAAUCUUUCCACAACCAUAUCAUGAAGCAGUUUUACACUCAAAGUGUUUGCACAACUAUUUAAAACCAUCCACAUGCUAUGAAUUUGUUCUUGUUAGCUCUACCCCAUUCUCUUUUAGCAUCAUUGGAAUAAUAUCUCAUAAUUGGGAUAAUAUCAACAAUGCAGCACCGCCAUAUACGAAACUGAAACCUUGAUAAAUGAAAUGAAAUAUUGAACUGAAAUUGCAUUAUGCUCAAUUAUGA
rnacentral:lncRNA from 1 species